rnacentral:lncRNA from 1 species
ACCCUGUACAUCGCAGUCUUGUGAUCCCGUAGGAUACACAUCUCAGUCUAACGCCCGAGGGACGUACAUAUCAGUCUAACGCCCCGAGGGACGUACAUAUCAGUCUAACGCCCCGAGGGACGUACAUAUCAGUCUAACGCCCCGAGGGACGUACAUAUCAGUCUAACGCCCCGAGGGACGUACAUAUCAGUCUAACGCCCCGAGGGACGUACAUAUCAGUCUAACGCCCCGAGGGACGUACAUAUCAGUCUAGUGUUCUGCAGAAACACAUAUCAGUCAAAUGCUCCCGAAGGUGCAAAAUAAAUUGGUGAUCCCGUGGGACACCUACAAGGUAAACAUCCCAAUACAAUCUAACAAUUUAUCCCUCAUUCCAUUCAAUCCAUCUUUCAGUUACUUCAAAACAUAGAGUUCUUUCUCUCAACGUCCUAACAGUCAACUUAUCUCACUUUAGUCAUAUGUCUAUCAAUAAUAUACUAAUACGUCAGUCAAUCAAACUAUACAGUCAAUACACCCCUCAGAUCACCAGCACACAGUCAUACUUUAGCGUAAAGUACACCCAAUCUAAACGACAAUCACAAGAUCGUAUCUGCAUCUCAUACAAGCACAAUCUACAAUUUUCGUCCUGUCCACAUCCACACACACAUAUAUAUAUUCCAUGACAAUCACAAUAUGCAUUCAACAUUAAGUCUACUUCAAUUCAUAUGCAUAUAUAUAUUUUCAGUCAAUCCACAAUAUACAUUCAACACCGAAUCUACAUCCAUACGUGUAUAUAUAUAUAUCAUCUCAUCAUCUUUACUCAGUCA